AGACGUCUACAUUAGAUACCCCCGUAGUCCCAGCCGUAAACUAUGCGCGUUAGGUGUAUCGGUGACCACGAGUUACCGAGGUGCCGAAGGGAAACCGUGAAACGUGCCGCCUGGGAAGUACGGUCGCAAGGCUGAAACUUAAAGGAAUUGGCGGGGGAGCACCACAACGGGUGGGGCCUGCGGUUUAAUUGGACUCAACGCCGGGAAGCUCACCGGAUAAGACAGCGGAAUGAUUGCCGGGCUGAAGACUCUGCAUGACUAGCUG
rnacentral:rRNA from 1 species